AGUGAACGCUGGCGGUAGGCCUAACACAUGCAAGUCGAACGGCAGCACAGUAAGAGCUUGCUCUUACGGGUGGCGAGUGGCGGACGGGUGAGGAAUACAUCGGAAUCUACUUUUUCGUGGGGGAUAACGUAGGGAAACUUACGCUAAUACCGCAUACGACCUACGGGUGAAAGCAGGGGAUCUUCGGACCUUGCGCGAUUGAAUGAGCCGAUGUCGGAUUAGCUAGUUGGCGGGGUAAAGGCCCACCAAGGCGACGAUCCGUAGCUGGUCUGAGGGGAUGAUCAGCCACACUGGAACUGAGACACGGUCCAGACUCCUACGGGAGGCAGCAGUGGGGAAUAUUGGACAAUGGGCGCAAGCCUGAUCCAGCCAUACCGCGUGGGUGAAGAAGGCCUUCGGGUUGUAAAGCCCUUUUGUUGGGAAAGAAAAGCAGCAGGUUAAUACCCCGCUGUUCUGACGGUACCCAAAGAAUAAGCACCGGCUAGCUUCGUG
rnacentral:rRNA from 1 species